rnacentral:rRNA from 1 species
AACGAACGCUGGCGGCAUGCCUAACACAUGCAAGUCGAACGAUUAUGGAACUAGCUUGCUAGUGCCCAGAUAGUGGCAGACGGGUGAGUAACGCGUGGGAAUCUACCUAGUAGUACGGAAUAGGCCGUUGGAAACGACGAAUAAUACCGUAUAUUCCCUGAGGGGAAAGAUUUAUCGCUACUAGAUGAGCCCGCGUUAGAUUAGCUAGUUGGUAGGGUAAUGGCCUACCAAGGCAAUGAUCUAUAGCUGGUCUGAGAGGACGAUCAGCCACACUGGGACUGAGACACGGCCCAGACUCCUACGGGAGGCAGCAGUGAGGAAUUUUGGACAAUGGGGGCAACCCUGAUCCAGCAAUGCCGCGUGAGUGAAGAAGGCCUUUGGGUUGUAAAGCUCUUUUGUCAGGGAAGAAACACCGGCUCUAACACAGUCCGGGAAUGACGGUACCUGAAGAAUAAGCACCGGCUAACUACGUGCCAGCAGCCGCGGUAAGGA